CCUACGGGCGGCAGCAGUGGGGGAUAUUGCACAAUGGGGGGAACCCUGAUGCAGCGACGCCGCGUGAGUGAAGAAGCGCCUCGGCGCGUAAAGCUCUGUCAGCAGGGAAGAAAAUGACGGUACCUGACGAAGAAGCCCCGGCUAACUACGUGCCAGCAGCCGCGGCAAUACGUAGGGGGCAAGCGUUAUCCGGAUUUACUGGGUGUAAAGGGGGCGUAGGCGGCGAGGUAGGCCAGGAGUGAAAGCCCGCGGCGCAACCCCGGGACUGCUUUUGGAACUGCGUGGCUGGAGUGCAGGAGGGGCAGGCGGAAUGCCUGGUGUAGCGGUGAAAUGCGUAGAUAUCAGGAGGAACACCGGUGGCGAAGGCGGCCUACUGGACUGCAACUGACGUUGAGGCCCGAAAGCGUGGGGAGCAAACAGGAUUAGAUACCCUUGUAGUC
rnacentral:rRNA from 1 species